rnacentral:snRNA from 1 species
AUGCUCAAUUUGGUAGUACAUAAACUAAAACUGGAAUGAUACAGAGAAGAUUAGCAUAGCCCUUUCGUAAGGCUAAUGUAAAUUCAUGAAGCAUUUCAUUUUUUU